rnacentral:rRNA from 1 species
UGGAUAAGGCAUGCAAGUCGUACGAUGCAAUUGCGAUUACAUCAAGAUUGCAUAGUGGCGAACGAGUUAGUAACACAUUGGUACAUACCCGGAAGUCGGGCAUAACUUGCCGAAAGGCAGGCUAAUUCCCGAUGGUCUUUCACUAGUAAAGAAGCAAUUCGCUUCCGGAGUGGCCUAUGUCCUAUCAGCUUGUUGGUGAGGUAAUGGCUCACCAAGGCUAUGACGGGUAGGGGACCUGAGAGGGUGACCCCCAACGAGGGUACUGAGAUACGGACCUUACAUCUACGGAUGGCUGCAGUCGAGAAUAUUCGACAAUGGGCGAAAGCCUGAUCGAGCGACGCCGCGUGCAGGAUGAAGGCCUUCGGGUUGUAAACUGC